GGCAUAUAUGAGCCUGAUCUCUUAAAGAAAAAUUCGAACUACUUGACUCUAUAUAUUUAACUUGAAGCGCUCCAAGAAGGCGCGACGAACAGAGAAGGAUAUUUAUACCGUGAUCAGAAAAUUCUUUUAAGACAGAAAAGAAUGAAGCUUUCAAGGUCUGCGAUUUUGUUUAUAUCACUGGUGUUCUUCGCGAUCCUUUUCUGCAAUGUCGACUGCAAUAUGGGGUACAUUCGAUUUGGUCGUAACUUGAAGAAGCGACCGCUCGACGAAGUUAGGGCCAUAACACGGACAAAAGCUGACGGGAGUAUGAAAGUGAGGAGCCGCGAGCAAGACAUAAGAAACGCUGCUGCAUACCGGUAUGGCACACAGGAGGAACAGGAGUUUGAAACGCAAUUGAAUCGGCGGUGAAUAAAACCUGAUCAAUAGUUUAUGCUUGACAAUUGAUUCGAAGAGGAAAGAGGGGAUGAAUUUGUCCACCGCAAUUAAGAACAUAUAUUAUUUGUAUUGAGUUGAUUCUCCAAAUAAAUGCGAUUCAGCCAGUACACGAGUCACUUA